UUAUUGUUUAAAUAAUUUAUUUAUAAUUUAUUUUAUAUGUAAAUUUUAGUGUGAAUUUUUCAUUAUUUUAAUAAUAUAAAUUAAUUUGCAGUAAAUAAAAUUAUAAAUUUAAGAAAUUAAGAUUUAGUAAUAUUAAAAUUAAUAACAAAUUUUGUGCCAGCAGUUGCGGUUAUACAAGAAUUAAAAUAAAUUUUAUUAGUUUUAAUUAAAAAAAAUUUUUUAAAUUAAAUGUUAAAUUAUAAGGUGAAAUUUUAAUUUGAUUAAAAUUUAAUUUUAUUUUUUGAUUUAAUAAAUUUUAUUUAUAAACUAGGAUUAGAUACCCUAUUAUUAAAAAUUUAAUUUAAAAUACUAAAAUAUUAAAUAAUUAAUUAUUGAAACUUAAGUAAUUUGGCGGUAUUUUAGUUCAUUUAGAGGAAUCUGUUUAAUAAUUGAUAUUCCACGAAUAAAUUUACUUAAUUUAAUAUUUUAUAUAUCGUUGUUAAAAAAAUAUUUUUAGAUAAUAAUAAUAUUUAAAAAUUUAUAAUAAAAAUUAGUUCAGAUCAAGAUGUAGAUUAUAAUUAAGAAUAUAAUGGAUUACAAUAAAAUUAUUUAUUAAUAGAUAUUAUUUUGUAAAAAUAAUUGAAAGUGGAUUUAAAUGUAAUUUUAUAUAAUUUUAUAAAAUGGUUAAAAAAUUAAAAUAUGUACAUAUUGCCCGUCGCUUUCAUUUAAAAAUUGAAAUAAGUCGUAACAAAGUAGAGGUACUGGAAAGUGUUUCUGGAAAGA
rnacentral:ncRNA from 1 species